UACGUAGGUGGCAAGCGUUGUCCGGAAUUAUUGGGCGUAAAGCGCGCGCAGGCGGUUCCUUAAGUCUGAUGUGAAAGCCCCCGGCUCAACUGGGGAGGGUCAUUCGAUACUGAUCGACUGGAAGGCAGGAGAGGGAAGCGGAAUUCCGGGUGUAGUGGUGGAAUGCGUAGAGAUCCGGAGGAACACCAGCGGCGAAGGCGGCAUCCUGGACUGGUCCUGACACUCAGGAGCGAAAGCGUGGGGAGCGAUCCGG
rnacentral:rRNA from 1 species